CGAAAUAUAAAUUGAUAUGCGCCGUCCGCUAGUAUUACUAGCGGACAAAGUAAUAACAAAUUUUGGACAAUUAUGCCCCUAACUUAGCUAAGAAAAAUUGAAUAAUACACAAAAUCUCCCAUAUCCAUUGGACAAAGGUACUACGCUAUAGCAAAUCUACAAAAUCGACAACAAAGGUACUACACUACAGUGCCAUUCUGCGAUUUGGGCGAACUGCUAGAACCCUACAAGUAAAAUACAG
rnacentral:lncRNA from 1 species